rnacentral:rRNA from 1 species
GACGAACGCUGGCGGCGUGCCUAAUACAUGCAAGUCGAACGCAGUGGGGACGGGUGAGUAACACGUGGGUAACCUCCCAUCAGAGGGAUAACACUUGGAAACAGGUGCUAAAACGAUACUGAUGGAUGGACCAGCGGUGCAUUAGCGAGUUGGUGAGGUAACGGAUCACGAAGGCCACGAGGCAUAGCCAAGCUGAUGGGUGGAUCGGUCACACUGGGCCUGAGACACGGCCCAGACGCCGACGGGAGUGAGGAGUAGGGAAUCUUCGGCAAUGGACGAAAGUCUGACCGAGAAACGCCGCGUGAGUGAAGAAGGUUUUCGGAUCGUAAAGCUCUGUUGUUAGAGAAGCGGUAUCUAACCAGAAAGCCACGGCUAACUACGUGCCAGCAGCCGCGGUAAUAC